CAUUCUGACAUAGGUGCCACUGUAGCCUUCUGCAGUUAAAUUUUCUUGCCUGCUCCCAUCUGUAGCAGGCUGUUAGAGCCAAAGGCUACAGCCCAGCUGCAGGCAGUAACGCUAGGUACAGACUGCUCAGGACCAGGCCAGCGGAGGGAGAUAAUCAGUGGCUACAGGAAGUUAAAAGGCUCCUAGGAAGGGGAAGCCAGGGGAGUCAGACAGAUAGGAAAAUGAGAGAAUAUUGCUUGGCUAGACCAGGAAUUUCUAGGGUCUGAGGAGAGAUUUAAGGGCUAUGAGACUGGGAGCAGCACCACCAUGGCAGAGAGUUGAGCCACAGCCAGGUUAAGAGGAAAGACUGCAUUUUGAGCAUUUGGCAAUUUGUGUAACAUGAGGAAGGAGCAGUAAUUAGCCCCUGAGAAGACGUCUCCAGCUUAAGAGGAUUCACACCUGUGAAUUAACCUUCUAUGGACUGUGUUUGUUAGUGUUUGAGGACUGACUCCUACAGGAGGAUACCAGUAGGACAAUGACAUCAGCUCUGUGCUGGAGAAAUAACCAUAAGGGAUCAUCAUCAGAGGAAUCAUCCAGAAACACAUCGCUUCCACUCCCCCCUUUCUUCUGCACACUCUCCUUGCUCCUGAUUUGCUGGGAAAAUACAUCUGUUUCUUUGAAACCCCUCACCGUGGCCUGACUUUUGCAGAGGGAGGGGCUUGGUUAUAAGAACAGGGCAGUGCUUUUUGCACCUGUUCUCCUUGGAACAAAAUGGCAGGAGCCUCUGUCUUUCAGUGACACUUGGAGACCCUCACUCCUGCACCUUAAGUGGUACUGAGAAUAAAGGGAGUCUGGACUGAAUACCAAUGAGAAAAGCAGUAUGAUGAUGAAGGAAGUGUGCACAAGAUUAUUAGGCAAACUACCAGAACAUGGUAGGAUUAUAGCACGGGGGGUGGAGAGGGAGAAAAAUCAAUUCCUACUCUAGCCCCUGCCAGCAGUUUCAGAAAAUGUGGAACUCAACCUUCAUCCUAGUCAUUUUAAAUGGUGAAUUCCCUGCACUCUUCAGAUGGAGUUAAGGUACAUCUUCUUAACUGGCCUGGCUUCAUCUGCCAGGCACUGAAUUCCAUGAUGCUUGUCUGGUGGACAAGAGUGCCCCCAUGUCCACAAUGAGUUGUUUAUAGACCAUAAUUAAGACACUCUGUAACCUCUGCCCUGGAUAGAGCAGCACUUACCCCACUGUAUUUUAUAUACAUUUGGAUACUACUGUAAGAGAGCCCAGGAUUAGAAAUAAGCAGAUGUGCAACUAUACCCAGGUUGCUGCUCACAGUUGGCAGCUAUUUUUAUACCUUACCACUAGGUAUGUUGCCAACUGUGUGCCUGUGGACCUUUUACAAAAAUGUUACCCCAGGACUGACAAGACUUAACCUGAGGUAAGUUACCAGAGUCUUUCAUGGACAAUUUUCCACUGAGUUAAAUCAUAGAGAAAUUAGGGUUGGAAGGAAUCUCAGGAGAUCAUUUAUUCUAAACCCCUGCUCAAAGGAGGACCCAUCCCUAAC